GACGAACGCUGGCGGCGUGCUUAACACAUGCAAGUCGAGCGGUAAGGCCCUUUCGGGGGUACACGAGCGGCGAACGGGUGAGUAACACGUGGGUGACCUGCCCUCAGCUCUGGGAUAAGCCUGGGAAACUGGGUCUAAUACUGGAUAUGACUCCACGGUGCAUGUCGUGGGGUGGAAAGCCUUGUGCGGCUGAGGAUGGGCCCGNGGCCUAUCAGCUUGUUGGUGGGGUGANGGCCUACCAAGGCGACGACGGGUAGCCGGCCUGAGAGGGCGACCGGCCACACUGGGACUGAGACACGGCCCAGACUCCUACGGGAGGCAGCAGUGGGGAAUCUUGCGCAAUGGGCGAAAGCCUGACGCAGCGACGCCGCGUGAGGGAUGACGGCCU
rnacentral:rRNA from 1 species